AACGAACGCUGGCGGCAGGCUUAACACAUGCAAUUCGAGCGCCCCGCAAGGGGAGCGGCAGACGGGUGAGUAACGCGUGGGAAUCUACCCAUCUCUACGGAAUAACGCAUGGAAACGUGUGCUAAUACCGUAUACGUCCUUCGGGAGAAAGAUUUAUCGGAGAUGGAUGGGCCCGCGUUGGAUUAGGUAGUUGGUGGGGGAAAGGCCUACCAAGGCGACGAUCCAUAGCUGGUCUGAGAGGAUGAUCAGCUACACUGGGACGGAGACACGGCCCAGACUCCUACGGGAGGCAGCAGUGGGGGAGGUUGGACAAUGGGCGCAAGCCUGAGCCAGCCAUGCCGCGUGAGGGAUGAAGGCCCUAGGGUUGUGAAGGUCUUGCACCGGUGAAGAUAAGGACAGUAACCGGAGAAGAAGCCCCGGCUAACUUCGUGCCAGCCGCCGCCGUAAGAC
rnacentral:rRNA from 1 species